GCGGGACUGGAGGGCAGCGCCCCCUGCCGGCCCCGCGCUGCGGCCUCCGACGGAGCCGCGCCCGAGGCUCGAGAUGGAGGCGCUGUGAGUGUGCGGAGGCACGGCGUGGGGAUAGCGAGGCCAGAACUCGUGUCAGAGAAAAAAACCAAACCUAACAAUCAGGAGUGUUUUUUCAGCGGCAGACAUUGUCUCUUACCCGUAAAUGGAUCAACCCCGCCCACUGGAGGUACUGUGUUUGAUGCUGAACCGGGAACAUAGCGACCAGCACCUAACAAAAAUGUCAAGUUUUUAAACAGCACCACCAAUAAAAAGAACUAUCUGUGCCUUUCCCCUCAAUCAUUUAAGAAUAUGAAAGUAUCUGUAGAAGUUGUUCAAGAGCUACAACACUGAAGUCUGCCUGGACAGACAAUUCUAUGAGGUUCAACAAGGCCAAGCGCUGGGUCCUCCCCCUGCGUCGCAACAACCCUGUGCAGAGAUACUGACUGGGGGCAGAGUGGCUGGAAAGCUGCCCAGAAGAAAAGGACCUGCUGAUCUUCAUCUGCCUGACCAUGAUCCAGGAGCGUGGCUGUGUGGGCAAGAAGGACAAUAGUAUCUUGGGCUUUUAUCCCAGCAGGACCAGGACUGUGACUGUCCCUCUGUACUUGGCCCUGGUGAAGCCACACCUCAAAUCCUGUGAUCAGUUCUGGGCCCAUCAUGGCAACACAAUGAGGUGCUGCAGGCAAGUCCAGAAAAGGGCAAUGGAGCUGGUGAAGGGUCUGGAGCACAGGUCUUGAGAAGCAGCUGAAGGAAUUGGGGGUGUUUAGGUGGUGCAGGUGGACCUUACUGCUCUCUACAAGUAUUUGAAAGGUAUCAAGGUGGGGGUCAAUCUCUUCUCCCAGUAGCAGGCUGCAAAGAAGUGGUCUCAAGCUGCACCAGGAGAGGUUUAGAUUGGAAAAAGUUCUAUACCGGAAGGGUGGUCAGGCAUUGGAAUAGGCUGCCCAGGGAAGUGUCUAAAUCAUCAUCCCUGAAGUAUCCAAAGAACUAUGUGAACAUGGGGAUAUGUUUUAGGGUUGAACAUGAAAGUGGUCAGUUAAUGGCUGAACUCAAUAUUCUUAGAGGUCUUUUCCAAUCUUAAUGAGAUUCUAUGAUUCUAUGAAAGUGAAAUGGAUUGAAACCUAAUGGAACAACCACGGCCAGAGGCUGGUGGCCAGUGCAACAACAUUUACUGGAAGCCAGCCACUGGUGGUGUACCCCAGGAGUCAAUCUGCAUCCAGUCCUGCUCCACAUCUUCACUAAUGAUGGUGUGGAAGAUCAGUCAGAGUGCAUCCUCAGCAAGUGCGCAAAGACACAAAACUUGGGGGAGUAUCUAAUGUCAUCACUUAAGUUUAAAAU